UUUUUUUUUUUUUUUGGUCUUUUCUGGGGAGGCUCCCUCGGCAUAUGGAGGUUGCCAGGCUAGGGGUAGAAUUGGAGCUGCAGCCACUGGCCUAUGCCAGAGCCACAGCAACAAGGGAUCCGAGCCACGUCUGCAACCUACACCACAGCUCACAGCAACGCUAGGUCCUUAACCCACUAAGCAAGGCCAGGGAUCGAACCCGCAACCUCAUGGUUCCUAGUCGGAUUCAUUAACCACUGCACCACAAUGGGAACUCCAUGACAUUUCUAUUUUUGUAAAGUCUUUGUUUUCAAGUGGAUGAAAACAUUUUCUAGGGCUGGAAACAUAUUAAGCUAGACGAAAUCUGCAUGUAUAAGUGUUUUCACUGCAUUGUACAAGUUGUGGGCCAGCACGUGGUUGUGCCCCCCCAACCACCCAAGCAGAUGCUCGGUGUCAGGUAGGCUGCCCAGAUUAGAAGUCAAUGAAGAAGGGUCAUCUUGUGGACAUCAAGAGUCAAGGGAGGACCAAGCCAGCUGCCCCUUGUGAUUAAGAGUCUCUGAAAGAGAGUGUGUGAAAACUAGAGUAACCACACAUCCCUGUUUUCUUAGGAAAGUUCUGGUUUAUACCUAAGAUCCCCAUGUACCAUCCAGUUAGCAUGCCCUUUCAUUCUCAAAAAUAUCCCAGUUUAGAUAAGAAAUUACAUGGCCACCUUAAUUAAAAGUUAUUUACUCAUAAGGAAGUAAUUAUAUAUUUAACUAAAUUUCUCUGCUUAAAUAAUCUUAAAGUGAAUCCUUUGAUAAACUAAAAAGCAUUAAGCCUGACCCCACCCAUUAAAAGUGAGAGAGCAAGGGAUCGACGGAUUCUUGGCUUGCACAGGGAUUACUAGAUGUUUUCCUUUGUUUUGCUUUAGGGGCCUAGGGGCUCAGAAGGAGACCAGAUCAUCUAUAGACAGCUCAAAGAGACCCAAUUUCCUUUGCACAUUCAUGGCCAGUCAAUUGGCAACCCCCUACACAUGCAUGAAAAGUUAGCCAUCUCAGUAGUCCAUUGAGGGCUGAACAGGUGGCACAGGUUACAGUGGGGACUGGCAUUCAGAGGAGAAAGAAACCACUUGCAGCUCCAGUUGUUCUUGAGAGCAUCAUUCAAGUAGAGGUAGGAGAACAGAUACAUGGACGAAGCAGAUGUGGGGUAUACAUACAAUGGAAUAUUACUCAGCCAUAAAUAAGAAUGAAAUACUGCCAUUUGCAGCAACAUGGAUGGAUCUAGCGAUUAUCAUAUUAAGUGAAGUAAGUCAGACAAAGACCAUAUGACAUCACUUACAUGUGGAAUCUAAAAUAUGACACAAGUGAACUUAUUUACAAAACAGAAACAGAUUCAGAGACAUAGAGAACAGACUUACAGUUGCCAAAGAGGAUAGAAGGGGGGAAUAAAUUAGGACUUGGAGAUGAACAGAUACACACUACUUUAUAUAAAGUAGAUGAACAACAAGGUCCUACUGUGUGGCACAGGAAACGACACUCAAUACCUUGUAAUGAACUACAAUGGAAAGAAUAUGAAAAAGAAUAGAGAUAUAUGUAUAACUGAAUCACUUUGUUGUACACCAGAAACUAACACAACAUUGUAAAAUCAAUUAUACGUCAAUGUUUUUAAAAGAUAGAGAGAGAGAGAGAGAGGUGAGAGAAGCAUCAUUACAAGUGAAACCAAAGCCCCUGGGGAUGGCUCCAGGCAGAGGUGGGAGGAGUCAGAGGACCAGCAGCGACAGGUUUGCAGGAAGCUCAGGGUUUCUCCAUGCAUUAAAGGUAUAAACCUAGAAAGAUGGUGAGGCCUGGAUAAGGAAGGUGCCCAGGCCAGAGAAACUUUGCAAGAGUUUUGGAGAGACAUAAAUUCUCUGGGAUUGUCCAGAGGAGAGAAUUUGAAAUACAAAAUUCUAGAGUUAGGUACAAAGAUGCUGACGGAGAUGAGAGCAGUUGUCAAGAUGGCUGGCUUUGCUGCAGUUACCAGCUAAUUUUUUGAAUAGGAACAUUCAUUAGCAGGGUUGAAAUUUUAAAAUGCACAAAAUCAUAUACAAUUUAAAAACUUCCCUGCUCUUCUUCCCAACCACUCCCAUCUCCUUUCUGUUUCCUUGUUGAUCCUUCCAGAGAUAGUCUAUAUCAUAGAAGCCAUGAAUAUUCUCAACCAUUCCUUUCUUUUCAGUUUACAUCAAUUUCAUCCCAGUAAAUAAAUAUUUCUGACCUUGGUUUUGGCAUCGAAAAAUAAUCUCGAAGAUUGUUCUAGAGCAGAAUAUUAGAAGUUCAGAUUGCCUUGGCCUCACAGUAUUCCAUUAUAUGGACGUAUCACGGUUUGUUGAACCGUCUCCCACUAAUAGAAAUCCCAGUCUUCUCCUAUUAAUAGCAAUGCUGCAAUUAUUGCCCUUCUGCUUUCACCACUGCACACCUCUAAAGAACUCUGAAUGAUGUUUCUAGAAGGGGAACUGCUAAGGCAAAAGAUACAUGUGUUUGUAAUUUUGAAAUAUUUUGUGACGUUGCCCCUGGUGAAAGUUGCCCCCACUGGUGCUCCUCCCACCAGAGACUCUGUUUCCACCAGUGAACUCCGUGGGCUGUUAAACUUUUUGACUUGGGGCCAGUACUGAGAGGUGGACAGAGAAGUAAAGAAUAUUUUCUCCUCUAUUCCUGCUAUUUCCUGAGAAGUAAAGGGGACCCCCCCCCCAUACACACAGCCCUUUGUAUUCAUUCCCCCUACCGCUCAAGAAGGUAAAGUCACUUAUCAGAUUAAUACAUUUAGGAAGAAUUAACUUAUUCUCCCCUAAGCUUCUCCUCCCUGGCACAAGCUGCUACAGAAAACUGUUCUUUUUCUUUCCUCCAUGUAGCAGAGAGGCUGCCACAUUCUGGGGGUCAGUCUGUGCAACGCUCAUACUAAACCUCAUCUUACAAAUUAGGCCUUAUCAGUAGUGAGGAGGCUAUUUCAGCCCCCAUCUGCUAUUCCCUUAUUUUAUUUUUCAAUUUGUUCACAGCUCAGACAGGGAAGAAGGUCUCUGACUCAAGUAGAUGGUUGAGAUUUAAAGAGAUGAUAUCUUACUUAUUUCCUAGUUUAUGUCUCAACUGGGAAAAACUACCAAGAUUUCAGUUGUCGACCCAGGUAGAGUAUUUCUCCAAGUGAGGCCAUCUGCCUCUGAAUAUGAGAGAAUGGGAACAAUUUAAAAUGCAGAUUCUGGGAGUUCUUACUGUGGCUCAGUGGGUUAAGAACCUGACUGGUAACCAUGAGGAUGAGGGUUCAAUCCCUGGCCUUGCUCAGUGGGUUAAGGAUCCGGCGUUGCCAGGAGCUGUUAUAUAGGUCACAGAUGUGGCUUGGAUCUGGUGUUGCUGUGGCUGUGGCAUAGGCCUGCAGCUGCAGCUGCAGCUCUGAUUCAACCCCUAGCCUGGGAACUUCCAUAUGCAUGGGUGUGGCCCUAAAAGGACAAAAAAUUUAAAAAAAUAAAUAAAUAAAAUGCAGAUUCUGGGCCCAACCUAAAAUUUCUGAGCUGGAAUCACUGGGGGUGGGGGUGGGGGGGAAUGUGGGAGAAGGAAGUGCGGCCCAGGGGUUUUUGUUUUAUAAAAAGCUUCCCUAAAUGAUUUUUAAAGCUCAGUUAGGUUUAGAGAGCAUUACACUCCAGAGUCAUUCCUACUCCUGAGAAAAAUCCAAGUAGCCUAUAUGAUGAGGGUGACCAAGGCCCAGGAAAGCAGAGGCUAAAGAAAGUAAGACUCAGGAGAGAAAACUUGAAAUGUUAAGAACGGGCAACUGCUAGCAAGGAGUAACAGGGAAGAAAUAUUCAUGAGGCUAUUAAAGACAUAGAUAAAUAGCUUUCUCCUAUUAGGGAGGGUACUUCAAAGCUGACUGGCAUCAAAGAAGAGGGAUGAAUAGGACAAAUGAAAGCUGUGGGCUUCAAUUAUUUAUCGGCCUGGUGAAAACUGAAACUGGGGGGAUUCAGAGCCUUCAAUAUAUUCUAAAUAAACUGCUCUUGCCUGGCUGGGUUGAUUAGUACGUGAAAAGGCUGGAUGUUAAUUAGUUGCCUCUACAUUGUUCUACCUAUCCACAAACAACUGAGGAGUUAUUAUCUCCUACUUGUUAAUUGGCUAUUAACAGCAGGAAGUAAUUGCUUUGGAAAUUAUUCCCUGGAAAGUGCUUAAGGUCUAAUAUUGAGCAAUGUAUCUGUACACGUGUUUGCAUAUGAGCCAGGAAACAGUCCGAUAUGCUGAGGCUUCCGCACACCGCCUGUGCUACAAAGCAGGCUUCAAUUUUUCUCAUCGAAUUCUUCACGUCCGUUCUUCCCAAACCAGGUAUGAACCACUUUCAUGGCCAGAGAAGCUUCCAGAGGCUAACUAAGCCAAAACAUGCUGGAUUAAUUCAUUUUUUAAUUCAUUUGUUAUUAUUGUUGUUAUUAAUGUUAUUGUUGUUAUUAAUGUCUGUUUUUUACAUUUAUCCUAAAAGUGUGGCAAGUUUUGGUGUCUCACAGAAGAAUAGCCACAGUUAUCUGAAAAGCUAAAAUAUUCUUCCCUUUUCCAUCCGCAUGUCUAUGUGUGGCUAAAUGUUGUUUAUAAACUACUUCAAUCGAAACAACACAUUGUCCUACACUGACUGAAGAUGCAGAUAUGAGAAUAUAGCUGUGUGCGAUCAGGCCAGAUGUUGUCCAGUUUUACCAUUCAUUGGCACAUACACCCCAUGCCAUGUUUCCUUGGCCUGGCAGAUCCUCUCUCUGAUCAGACAUUAGCAGCAUCUCCAAAUACUCUGGAAAAGAAGCAUUAGGAAUGCAGGCAGCUGCAUUAAAGGAGACAAAUCCUAAGGACACACUGAUACAGUUUGCAAAACAGUAGUUGGUUGUACGAUUUACAGUUUGAUUGCAAUGGGAAAUUAACACUUUAAAUACUUUUUAUCACUUUUCAAACUGCCAGAAGUUUUCUUAUUAUGAUGAUAUUAUACCUUAACCUGUGCA
rnacentral:lncRNA from 1 species